ensembl:lncRNA
AGGUGAAGAGGGUAUUUAAGGGCAGCUGUAGAGACGGUUUUCAUGCCGUUGAGACGCCGCUGCUGUUUCUUCUGAAGCCACCAUGAAGCUGAGCAUUGUCAUCUCCCUCUGCGCUCUACUUUACCUCUCUGGUCAUACUUUGGCCACAUCACCACUAUUUCCGGGAUAUGGAAAGGGACAGCAAAAAAUAAUAGAACCAAUUAAGAGCAAAAUUCAUUUUGGUCCAACAUCGCGGGGUAUGUGAGUGAACGCAGCAGAGGGAGCAGUGCCAUACUACUACUGAGAGCCACGCCUCCACUGAGAGCCACGCCUCCACUUGUCCUCACCGAGCUGAACCCUGACCCUGACUCUAACCCUAGUAUGACAGCAGGAUGCAGGUGUAAUUAAAAAUAUUAAAUAGUAAACAUUACCUGAUGGCCUCUUAUAUCUGAUAGAUGACACACACACACACACACACACACACAAAUAAGCAUGUUACGACAGCAGGAUGCAGGUGUAAUAAAAAAUAUAAAAUAGUGAACAUUACCUAAUGUUGUAUGUAUGUAUGUAGCUGUUGUGGUUAUGGUUUACUCUGAGUUUGAGUAGGAGAGGAAGAGUGAGAGAGGGGAGAGAGAGGGACAGAAUGAGUGAGACAGAAAAAGUUGAAAAAAAACAGUGGGAAAACGAGAUAAAGUGAAGCAGGGAAAAGAUUGAAAGAGGGAGAGAAAAUGGACUAAAGCAGAGAGAUGGACAGCGUGAGAAAAAAAGAGUUGGAGAGGGAUAGAAAAAAGUGGAUGGAGAUUCUACAGAGAGAGAGAAUGAGCGAAAGUAGGGAAGACAAUGGACAUAGGGGAGGAAGGAGAUGUUAGAGUGAUCGAUGGAUAGAGUGGAAGACAUAGACAUGGCAUGGAAGAAAAAAUGAAAUAAGUCAGAGUCAGAGAAAGCUGACAUAAAAAGGCGAAAAAAGAGCGAGAAUGGAUGGACAGAGUAAUUGAAAGAAGAAAGGAAAGAAGAUCA